GCGGUUGUAGCUCAGUUGGUUAGAGCAUCUGAUUGUGGUCCAGAGGGUCGUGGGUUCAAUUCCCAUCAACCGCCCCA
rnacentral:tRNA from 1 species